rnacentral:tRNA from 1 species
GCCGGGGUAGCUCAGUCGGUAGAGCAGGGGACUGAAAAUCCCCGUGCCGGCGGUUCGAUUCCGUCCCCCGGCACCA